rnacentral:rRNA from 1 species
UACGUAGGGUGCAAGCGUUAAUCGGAAUUACUGGGCGUAAAGCGUGCGCAGGCGGUCUUGCAAGACAGAUGUGAAAUCCCCGGGCUCAACCUGGGAACUGCAUUUGUGACUGCAAGGCUGGAGUGCGGCAGAGGGGGAUGGAAUUCCGCGUGUAGCAGUGAAAUGCGUAGAUAUCGGGAGGAACACCAGUGGCGAAGGCGGCUUCCUGGCGCGAUUCUGACGCUGAGGUGCGAAAGCGUGGGGAGCGAUCCGG